rnacentral:rRNA from 1 species
UACGUAGGGUGCAGGCGUUAAUCGGAUUUACUGGGCGUAAAGGGCGCGUAGGCGGCCACUGCAAGUCAGUUGUGAAAUCUCCGGGCUUAACCCGGAAAGGUCAACUGAUACUGCAGGGCUAGAGUGCAGAAGGGGCAACUGGAAUUCUCGGUGUAGCGGUGAAAUGCGUAGAUAUCGAGAGGAACACCUGCGGCGAAGGCGGGUUGCUGGGCUGACACUGACGCUGAGGCGCGAAAGCCAGGGGAGCGAACGGG